rnacentral:pre_miRNA from 1 species
UAAUGAGAAUGACGAUGAUGAUGAUGAUGAUGAUGAUGAUGGUCUUCAUCAUCGUCAUCAUCAUCAUCAUCAUCAUCAUCG